GACGAACGCUGGCGGCGUGCUUAACACAUGCAAGUCGAGCGGAAAGACCCGGCUCUUGUGGGUUGCACGAGUGGCGAGCAGGGGAGUAAAACGUGAGUAACCUGCCCUUGUCUUAGGGGUAAAUUCAGGGGACUCGGGAUAUUACACGAUAGAAUCUCCUGCAGCAUGGGGUGGGUUGGAAAGAUUCGGCUGUUGGGGCUGGACUCGCGGCUUAUGAGCUUGUUGGUCGGGUAGUUGCUUACAAAGGCUGUGACGGGUACCCCGCAUGAGAGGGUGACCGGCCACCUUGGUACUGAGAUACGGCCCAGACUCCUACGGGCGGCAGCAGUGGGGAAUAUUGCACAACGGGCGGAAGCCUGAUGUAGCAACGCUGCGUGCGGGAUGACCGCUUUCGGGUUGUAAACCGCUUUCGCCUGUGACGAACAGUGAGUGACGGUAACGGGUAAAGAAGCACCGGCUAACUACGUG
rnacentral:rRNA from 1 species